rnacentral:rRNA from 1 species
GGAGGAAAAGAAACUAACAAGGAUUCCCCUAGUAACGGCGAGUGAAGCGGGAUGAGCUCAAAUUUAAAAUCUGGCGGCCUCAGGUCGUCCGAGUUGUAGUCUAGAGAAUCGUUUUCCGCGUUGGCCUGUGUACAAGUCCCUUGGAACAGGGCGUCAUAGAGGGUGAGAAUCCCGUCCUUGACACAGACUACCAAUGCUUUGUGAUGCGAUCUCGAAGAGUCGAGUUGUUUGGGAAUGCAGCUCAAAAUGGGUGGUAAAUUCCAUCUAAAGCUAAAUAUUGGCGAGAGACCGAUAGCGAACAAGUACCGUGAGGGAAAGAUGAAAAGCACUUUGGAAAGAGAGUUAAACAGUACGUGAAAUUGUUAAAAGGGAAACGAUUGAAGUCAGUCAUGCUUUCCGAGACUCAGCCGAUUCUGUCGGUGUACUUCUCGGUUGGCAGGCCAGCAUCAGUUUCGAUCUGUGGAAAAGGUUGGAGGGAACGUGGCAUCCUCGGAUGUGUUAUAGCCCUUCUUCGAAUACAUAGAGCGGGACUGAGGAACGCAGCGCGCCUUUUAUUAGGUUGGCCCUCGGGUACAUACGCGCUUAGGAUGCUGGCAUAAUGGCUUUAAACGACCCGUCU